rnacentral:rRNA from 1 species
AAUCAACGCUGGCGGCGUGCCUCAGACAUGCAAGUCGAACGAUUAAAGCUCUCUUCGGAGAGUGCAUAGAGUGGCGCACGGGUGAGUAACACGUAAGUAAUCUACCUUCGAGUGGGGAAUAACGUCCGGAAACGGACGCUAAUACCGCAUAAUGCGGCGGCAUCGUAAGAUGACAGUUGUUAAAGGAGCAAUUCGCUUGAAGAGGAGCUUGCGGCAGAUUAGCUAGUUGGUAAGGUAAUGGCUUACCAAGGCUACGAUCUGUAUCCGGUCUAAGAGGACGGUCGGACACACUGACACUGAAUAACGGGUCAGACUCCUACGGGAGGCAGCAGUCGGGAAUUUUGGGCAAUGGGGGAAACCCUGACCCAGCAACGCCGCGUGAAGGAUGAAGUUUUUCGGAAUGUAAACUUCGAAAGAAUAGGAAGAAUCAAUGACGGUACUAUUUAUAAGGUCCGGCUAACUACGUGCCAGCAGCCGCCGUAAUAC